CUUGAGGGGCUAUUUUUUACCCUGCUUCACUAAAUAAGGCCAGGCAGAGUCGGGGAGUGGGUGCAGGGCCAGGGGGGCUCCUCUUUGCCUUGACCCUCGGGGUAUAAAAGCUUUGGAGCAGUGGGAGGCUCCUCCGACCAGCCCCUCUGCACACUUCCCGUCUGUCCCGUUCACACGUUCGCCAUAAAAUAUGCUCAAAGUCAACUUUAUGACUAUUUUUUUUUAAGCUAACAUUUGUUUUGGUUUUUUUAGUGACGUGGACGUGUAUCGGACGGUGACGUCAUUUUUGCCCUUAAUGGCUGCCGUUUCUCAUGUGAAUGGACAAGGACGUUUAUUGGACAGAGUAUGGACAGAAUUGUCUGGCAGGAUGGAAUAUACAGUAAGGGAUAAAAACGAGAAAAAAAAAGAAAGCAAGCUUUUUUCUGACUUCUGUUUAACAAAUCCUCUGAUCUUUCGCUCUUUAACUCACAUUGACUUCCUUUUCUCUCUCUCUCUCUGGCAGUCUAUCUCUCAUUUAAAAGUGUCAGCAUACUGUCCAUACUUUCUCCUACUCCUGUUUCAGCCGAUACUGGGGCGUAGUUCUAUACGUAGCUCUCUCAGGACAGGUGGGGAGGUGUUACCGAGAUAAACGUAGGUCUUUGGGACCGUUUUAUCCGACCCGGUGACUUCCGUCCGAUAUUUUUUGGUAAUUCGCUCUUCUUUUGCGCCGCAAAGAGCCAAGAACACUCCAGUAUUGACAGCAACGCUCUGCAUUUCUUUUCAUCCCCAUCUCUUUCUCAUCUGUCCACCCCUCCACCCUCUCUCUCUUUCCUCUCAUCCUCAAAUUCUCAAACGCUGAAUCAGCUGCUUGGGAACGGACGCUCCCCCUGCCUCUUGGCUGCACACACAAGCUGCCUCUCCCUGGUUCUGUGGUGUCCUUCUCCUGUCCCGUUUGAGAUUCUGGUCUUGCCCUAAAAUGCUUUGCUAAAGCUGGUAAAAUGGAACCAAAUCAACUGUUUUAUGGAUUUGGUCCCCUUCAACCAGCUGUAGCUGUGCAUUGAUCACCCCGUGGAGCUGCGAUGAAGACAGACAGCUGCUGAACAAUAACGGCCCGGUGCGGAUCUACGUUCACAGCGCAGGACCGGCUGUUGAAUGAAUGUUCCUUUAAGCACUAAUAUCAUGAUUAAACACUCUUUGUCCUCUUAAAACCCAGGUGAGUAUUAUAUAUGUCAUGUCAUUUAUUAUUUAUGAGCUAUAAUUGUUGAUUAUGUAUUCAAGCCAAAUCACUAUCAUUGGAGAGAGGGCUCAGGGCUCUUUAUGGCCGCACAUUGAUUUCUUGUCUCUCGGCUGAAAGAGUGAAGGUGUUGGGGCGCUAGAUGGAUGCAGGAACGAGGGAGGGGGUGUGUGUCAAGAUGUUGAAUAAGUAAAACAGUCGUUCCUUUUCUCUCUCUUUUUUCCUUCUACACUUGUCGUGAUUCUUAAUGCACAUGGUUGAUCAAUAAAAGCUCAUCCUGAAGUUCAUAAACUGCUGAAGUGGUUUUUGCUUUUCUGAAACAGACUAUUCAGCGGGAAAAUAAUGUAAGGCGGGGACGUGAUUUCAUCCAUAGGGAUUUGAUUGGACUGAAACGCACUACACUACGAUAUUAUUGGUUAUUUUUUCUUCUCACAUUGACAAAAAAAAACAAAAAAAAAACAGCAGAACAGUCUUCAGAUAUGAUGUAAAUUUUAAUUAUUAACAGAGUGCAAUUAGAUUUUAUGGUGAUCGUAAAAAAGUUCUUCUCUGAAGGUGGUGUACAUUUUUUGUCAAUGUUAAAAUACCAUCUGCAUUAUUUUUGUUGUUUUGCUGAAUGUUUUUUGACAUUUUUACACCAUGAGCAGCACUGUUCACAAACGUGAACUUUUCUUCCAUCAGUAUAUAUAGAAUAAGCACAGCUGAAACCAUGUGAUCCUGCAGCAUCAAAUCACCAAAGUAUCAAGAGCUGUGAGGUUGUUAACAAUCGUAGCCUGUCAAAGACUGAAGAGAUCCCUUGAUGGAUGGUUUGAGAGGUUUCAAAUAUUCCUUUCCUAUAUUUCCUUUUUACGGCACUGUAAAAAGAAGCCAUUAUAGAAUUACUAUGUGUGCAAUCAAAGGGAAUUUAACUCACUUCCGAGGAUGUGCUGGAAAAGAUGUGUACAGGCCUGUGUGAUUUCUUUAAAGGUACAGUGUGAGAUUUCUGCUAAACACAUCUAUGCAAACACUGUAUACAUUUCUAUACAAGAUUUUUGUGUAAACCCAGACAUAUCAUUUUCAGGAUGCUUUGAUGAAUACGAAGAUCAAAAGAAGAUUGUAAACAGUCACUUUUGAUCAGUUUAAUAUACCAUUGCUGAAUAGUAUCAAUUUGAUUUUUUUUUUUUAAUAAAAUAACCUUACUAACUA